ensembl:lncRNA
UCCCCCAGUUUCUGCUGCUCUUUAUCCGCUAAAUUGCUGACUGCGCUAUAUAGGCGGCUGUGUUUACUCUUCUGGAUGGUUUGUUUGAGGCUGACGUAGGCCUAAACUUUAAUCUGCAGACUCGCCAAACUGAACAAGAUAAAUUAUUCGCCUGGGCUUAUGAAAAAGGGCUUUCCAAUACAGGGUGUAUUUUCAGAUAGGGAAGGCCACCAGACAUUUUCUCAAAGGAAUUCAUCACUGAACCUUAUGUGCAGGUCCUUUUUCCCCACCCUUCACGUCCAGGGAGAUGAUGGGUGUGCAAGAGAGGGAUACUGCAGUGUGCAUUUUGCAUUCAAGUGGAACGUAGGCUGUAGAGAGGAACUAUGCGAGCCAAAGUUCUUUCAAUAUCUCUUCCUACAACAAACAGCUGUAGGAGUGAAUUUGACUGACUGAAAUUGAAAAGGGCCCUCAUCAGGAGGAUAACUUGGGAAGGUUGGGUUUUAGUUGAUGACAGCGCCCUCUUAUGCACUCUCCUAGUAUUGCACAAUUUCACCACUCAAUGAUGUUAAAGUGAACUUGGCUAGGAAAGCUAAAUGCUGAACACUACGGUCACUGAAGAUGUCAUUGUCUCAUAUACCAAUCUGUCCUGUGUCUGGACAAAGUGUCUUCAAAAGGAAACAAUCAAAGCAAGGUAGGUUUUUCUUCUUUUCUUUUAAACAUGGUAGAACAAUCCUCCAAUGACAAUUAACAACAUACAUUUUUUUUUUAUUUGUAUGUUACAUGGUGAAUAACAUGAUCUAUUCAUUUUUAUUAAUGUCAAGCACUCUCAAAAAGACGUGUCAAUAUUUUAUCCCAUCUUCAAAUACAACACAUUGAUUCAAACAAUUUUAUUUCAUUUUUGAACAUUUCAUGGGUACUUUUACAUAGCGAUUUAGAAACUGACUGCAAUUAUCUUAUAGUAAAUCAAAGCGAUUAGAAAACAUACAUAGCACUGAAAUGAGAUUGUAAAAGUUUCAGAGCAUUCUUCUCUUUGAGAAGAGAUGUGGAGUGACAUUCCAUUGUGUUUUACAGAGUAGAGUUGACAUGGUCAAUGGAAAGACUGUCAUGUAUGGAAGAAAUGAGGUUUCUACAAAUGGUUGGUCUGUGGGUCAAAGGGGAAGAGAAAGGUUAUAAAAUCUCAUGAUUACAGGUCCUGAUGACCUGUGACUGCACUCCAAGAUGGGUGUUUUAGACCACAAACAUAGUCAAUCGCAUGGCCGCACACCAAGAGUGCAGAUACAUAAAGACACAGCUCCACACGCACAUACACACAGAGCCACACAAACACACACGAACAUCAUGCACGCAGACACACACAGAUGCACACACAGAUGCACAUGUACACCAUCCAUGCACACACACACACACACCAACACACACACACACACACACACACACACACACACACACACACACACACACACACA